AACGUGAAAGAUUCAUCAAUGAUUAUUUAUUAAAUACAUAUUUAAAUAAAUAAUGGGCAGACACGUGGAACCAGGUGAUGAAUUGCUGUGUCUCCAAGUCAUUUUGAUGAUUUGCUUGGCCACUGAAACACAGAGACACGUGUAGCAUCCAUGAUCUUCUUUUAAAUACAAAAGCACCGCACACUGAUUCACAACCAUAUUCUGUUUCUCUUCAGAGUCAUCUUCUCAGACUGACGGUUGCUUAAAUUCAAUCCUUCAAAGUUUUAAUUUUUAGAGAAGAGUUCCUGGAAUCAGCUCAUAUUUUGCAGCGUUUGUUUUCACUUGUAAUCCCGGAAGUUCUUUAUAAAACAACAAUUAGGGUUUUGCAAUUUCAUCUUUUUGGGCGCAGAAGAAGCAGGUGAAGAUGGGUUAUGUGCUGGUUAUAUCUCUACCGAUGAUACUGUUCAUCAUAAUUGUGGCUCUUGCAUGUUACCUUCUGGGUAGACAGAGAGGCAGAGGUGAAGCCAAAAGAGCUCAGCAGCUUUAUGGGCCUCCUGCUCCUGCACCACCUCCUACUCAAAACCAGCCACCAGCAACAGCUCCUGAUGAGGGCAAGCCCUCGCAGUCACACUCUCAGGUUUAGAAUUGUACAAGCUACGGAUGGCUAUGUUUUUAUGCAUUUCAUUGCAUCAUAUGUUAUUAAAUUAUUCCACCCAAUAAAAAAAGAAUCAACUUCAGCUUGU